rnacentral:rRNA from 1 species
CAGUCGCCGCGGUAAUACGUAGGGCGCAAGCGUUGUCCGGAAUUAUUGGGCGUAAAGAGCUCGUAGGCGGUCUGUCGCGUCUGGUGUGAAAUCCCGAGGCUCAACCUCGGGCUUGCAUCGGGUACGGGCAGACUAGAGUGCGGUAGGGGAGACUGGAAUUCCUGGUGUAGCGGUGGAAUGCGCAGAUAUCAGGAGGAACACCGAUGGCGAAGGCAGGUCUCUGGGCCGCAACUGACGCUGAGGAGCGAAAGCAUGGGGAGCGAACAGGAUUAGAUACCCCCGUAGUCCCUGUCUUUAUACA